rnacentral:snRNA from 1 species
UUGCUUUGUCAGCACAUGUAUUAAAAUUGGAAUGAUAGAGAGAAGUUUAGCAUGGUCCCUGUGCAAUGGUGACAAACACAUUCAUGAAGUAUUCUAUAUUUUU